CUUUCCCCUACCUUUUCUCCCUAAUUUUUCUGAAAAUCAAUUUCUCUCUCUAGAGUUCCGGGAGCUCCCAUUCUUCUUCAUCUUCGAAACUGUAACUCAUCGAAAAUCUCUCAACCCCAAAACCUUGAUCCCUGAGACGAGAGGAACUCACCUAAACCUUUGCAUGCACCAUCGGGGCAGUGGGCAGUGAUCUUCCAUGGAACAUGAGAGCUUUGAGCUCUAGUUUUCCAUAUCAGAUGAGAAUUUCGUGUGGUGAUGUUUUGAUUGCAAAAAACACCCCUGGAAAUGUUCCCAGUUUUUCCGGCGAUUAACUCGAUUUUCAGGCCGUUCUCAGGCCAUUCUUCGGCCACGGCUUGGCUUAUUAAAGGUGCAUCGAGUGGGAGUAACACCAUCCUCGUUAACUCAAGCGGCUUCCGGACAAAAGAAGACUUAUGAGUGGACCCCUUCAUAACUUGCAUGGUUUUGUAAAAUGUUAGGGUUUAGAUUCAAGGCACAUGACCUCGGCGUCAGGACCCUUCUGCGUAGUUAUUCUCAAGUCUUCUUCGGAUAGAACCCCCCUUCUUCCGCGCUUCCGUAUGAUUUCUUCAUCUGAAACUUGCAAUCCAAAAAAUAAACGUGAGGAUUUACACAAGUCGGUACCUUCCAUACUCUAUCACUCUCUCACUCUCUCAGAUAUUGCAAUGAGGAAGAACACGCACUCACUCUUUUACAUCUGAAAAGACAAAAACCCCUGAAAUCGCUAGCCUUGAGGAACCAUUUGAUUUAUGAACAAGGAUUGGUUAUUUCUCUAUGGUGAUUGUGUGGGUGAAGUCGGUUUCCUUUCUCCACUUUAUACUGAUUUCAUAUAGAAAUUAUGGGUACUCUAUACGGAAAGAAAGUUAUCUAGAUAAACAUGGAAAACGGAAGUGACUACUUGAUUUCUAUGGCAACUGGAAGUGGAUUUCUUGCAUCUGUCAUGACCAGAACCUCACCUUCAAUUGAGUAUGCCUACAUGCCCUUUGAUUUGAGUGAAAAUUUAUGCUCCAAAAUAAUAAAAGAGUAGCAUGGCGUACUAUGGUUCAUGGACUUUAGGUAGGAACUUGUACCCAAAAUCUCAUGUUGAUUAACGAUUACAUGAAUAACAUGCAAGUCAUUACUGCACAGUAAACAUGAAUAACGUAUAAGUCAUUACUUUA